ACUAAGAUCAAAAGAUUCGUCUCGUGAUUUACAGCUAAACUGUGUAAUUAGUUUUUGUUUUCGUCUAUAUUUAAUGUUUUAUGCAUGUGCCAUAAGAUUCGAUGUGACGGGAAAUCUUGCAAACUUUUUGGUUUUUAGGGUGAACUAAACAAGGCCCAAGACCAUAUCUCCAUGUCAACCCAGAGCUAGCCAAGCAUCCUGCCGCGUCCGUACGUCAGGUGAGAACACGCGCUUUAUAAUAGUGCAGGAUUUACUCCUAUACCUAACUAUACUGUCAUUUAAUCUUGCCCCUUUUUAUGCUGUCAACAAUCACUGUUAGUAUAGUAUAGUAUAGUAUACUCAGUGCGUUACGUUGCAGUAAUAACUUGUAAAUUACGCUACUAUGCCGAUGCAUAUACAUUCAACGACGUACUAGUACCACACUAAUAAUAAGAUGAUCAAGCGUGUAUAGUCUCAAUUUACUUCCCUUUUUCUUAGAAAAAAUAAAUCCAAACAUACUAGCUAUAGUAGUAGAUAGGUAGUUUCUUGCUAGAAUGGGGCUCUAGAUCUUUUGAUUACUGGUCUGGUAGAGUUUAAGCGACCGGCAAGUGAAGGCAUAAUAAUCCAGCAGUCAGCAGAUUCCACAAUAAGAAGCUCAAGACGUACGCACAGAGAACCGAGUGGACAAGCAAGCGAGCUAAAGGCAGCAGCAGUAUCACAGUACGUGAGCAACACAUGAGACCUUUGCUCAAUAAGUGAUAGUCCCAUGCCAACGCACACGGGCCACAGAAAUGGCCUCCCUCCUAGACAGAGCACUACGUCACUCCCAUUUCUUUGGGCGUCCCAGUCCCAGGGCUUGUUUAGUUCAACCUGAAAAGCAAAAAGUUUUCAAGAUUUUCCGUCACAUCGAAUCUUGUGUCACAUGCAUGAAACAUUAAAUAUAAACGAAAAUAAAAACUAAUUACACAGUUUGGCUGUAAAUCACGAGACAAAUCUUUUAAUCUUAGUUAGUCCAUAAUUGGAUAAUAUUUGUCACAAACAAACGAAAGUGCUACAGUAUCAAAAAAAAAAAAAAAAACUUUUCACUUACGGAACUAAACAAGCCGCCAGUGUCGUAGUCUUGUUUGUAGGCUGUAGCAGUAUUGCCAUGGCCCUUAUCUAGUUAAUGCACACACUGCAUCAAAACGUUCACUGUCGAUCGUACGCACAGCUAGCUAGCGGCACAGAUGUGUAUCGAGAGCGGGAGGAAGACGUCAACGCCUUGAUAUGAUGACCGAUGCCUACAUCGCAACCGCAGCAGGGGCAGCUGCAGCCACCAAGUCAACACGCGAGCUGCAUGCCUGCGAGCUCCGAUUCCCUCCCUCCCCGUUGGCCGUCGCCGAAAGUUGUGAACACCGUCAACCAUCUGGAUCCGACAGCAGCCGCUAACUAGAAGAACUGGCACCUGUGCCC
rnacentral:lncRNA from 1 species